rnacentral:snRNA from 1 species
AGAUAUAAAUUUCCAUGAAGAG